GAUCAUGGCUCAGGACGAACGCUGGCGGCGUGCUUAACACAUGCAAGUCGAACGAGAAUCUGCGGAAAGAGGAUUCGUCCAAUUGAAGCAGAGGACAGUGGCGGACGGGUGAGUAACGCGUGAGGAACCUGCCUUUCAGAGGGGGGACAACAGUUGGAAACGACUGCUAAGUACCGCAUAACAUAUAGAUGUCGCAUGGCAUUUAUAUCAAAGAUUUAUCGCUGAAAGA
rnacentral:rRNA from 1 species